rnacentral:rRNA from 2 species
GACGAACCGAGCGAACGUUGUUCGGAAUCACUGGGCUUAAAGGGCGCGUAGGCGGGCAUUCAAGUCCGUGGUGAAAUCCGGCAGCUCAACUGUCGAAUUGCCGCGGAUACUGGGUGUCUCGAGGGAGGUAGGGGCGUGCGGAACUAAUGGUGGAGCGGUGAAAUGCGUUGAUAUCAUUAGGAACUCCGGUGGCGAAGGCGGCACGCUGGACCUCUUCUGACGCUGAGGCGCGAAAGCCAGGGGAGCAAACGGG